rnacentral:lncRNA from 1 species
AGUAGUCGAUCACUGUAGAAAAUUGACUGAUAGUGAAGUCUAGAGAGCAUUUGGAGCAGUCUGGUAGAUGAAUGGAGGAGCUCAUUAUUGGAGAAGUCCGGAUGGCAUGAUAGGAGUUCGUCCGUUGGAGGAAUCUGGAGGACACUAUGGAAGGUCGACUGCUGGGGAAGUCCGGAUGGUAUUGUGGAAGCUCGGACAGUCAGAGAAGUUCAGAUAGACACCGCACAAGGUCG